AGUUUGUCUGCCCUGGGUGAGUCGGGUCCUAAGGCGAGGCCGACAGGCGUAGUCGAUGGGUAACCAGUUGAUAUUCUGGUACCGGCUUGUCACCGUCCGUGUCGAGGUGUGUGAUGCUAAGCAUGUGAGCUUGUCUUGGGAGUGUUUUUGAUGCUUCUGGGGUGGGUGAGUGUGUGAACCGAUCAUGUAGUAGGCAAGCUGCGGAGGGACGCAGUGAGGUAGCUCAUCCCCGGUGAUGGUUGUCCGGGGCUAAGUGUGUGGACUGUCUGGUAGGUAAAUCCGCUGGGCGUGAAGGUUGAGGCAUGAUGGGGAGCCCACGGUUGUGGGUGAGUGAGUGAUCCUGUACUGUCGAGAAAAGCUUCGU
rnacentral:rRNA from 1 species